rnacentral:lncRNA from 1 species
UCUCAUAUUUCUCCUCCUCUCCCUCACACCCUAGGGUUCUUCUAGGGCUAGAUAUGAACCACCAUCAUCCCUUUUCUCCCAUCCUUACUACUACUUCCACUAUCUAUGAUCAACAAGGAAAGAUCUGAUCCUGCAACAGUUGGUAUCAGAGCUUCAGAGCUAGAUCUAAUGGAGAAAAAGUCUUGGAUGCCUGAUUUGGAUAAGGAUCUACCUUGGUCUAAGUAAUCUGCCUUAUUUUAUUCUAGACUACAUAGAUUUGUGGUUGUUCCUUGCGUAGAAUUGAAAUCUGUGUGGAAUGAUGUCAA